rnacentral:rRNA from 1 species
GACGAACGCUGGCGGCGUGCCUAAUACAUGCAAGUCGAACGCAGUGGGGACGGGUGAGUAACACGUGGGUAACCUCCCAUCAGAGGGGAUAACACUUGGAAACAGGUGCUAAACCGAUACUGAUGGAUGGACCCGCGGUGCAUUAGCUAGUUGGGGAGGUAACGGCUCACCAAGGCCACGAUGCAUAGCGGGCCGGAGAGGGUGACAGGCCACCCUGGGACUGAGACACGGCCCAGACUCCUACGGGAGGCAGCAGUGGGGAAUCUUCGGCAAUGGGCGAAAGUCUGACGGAGAAACGCCGCGUGAAUGAAGAAGGUUUUCGGAGCGUAAAGCUCUUUUGUUAGGGAAGCGGUAUCUAACCAGAAAGCCACGGCUAACUACGUGCCAGCAGCCGCGGUAAUAC